rnacentral:rRNA from 1 species
AUUGAACGCUGGCGGCAGGCUUAACACAUGCAAGUCGAGCGGAGAUGAGGUGCUUGCACCUUAUCUUAGCGGCGGACGGGUGAGUAAUGCUUAGGAAUCUGCCUAUUAGUGGGGGACAAAAUUCCGAAAGGAAUGCUAAUACCGCAUACGUCCUACGGGAGAAAGCAGGGGAUCUUCGUACCUUGCGCUAAUAGAUGAGCCUAAGUCGGAUUAGCUAGUUGGUGGGGUAAAGGCCUACCAAGGCGACGAUCUGUAGCGGGUCUGAGAGGAUGAUCCGCCACACGGGGACUGAGACACGGCCCAGACUCCUACGGGAGGCAGCAGUGGGGAAUAUUGGACAAUGGGCGGAAGCCUGAUCCAGCCAUGCCGCGUGUGUGAAGAAGGCCUUUUGGUUGUAAAGCACUUUAAGCGAGGAGGAGGCUACCUAGAUUAAUACUCUGGGAUAGUGGACGUUACUCGCAGAAUAAGCACCGGCUAACUCUGUGCCAGCCGCCGCCGUAAUAC